rnacentral:misc_RNA from 1 species
GGAAAAGGAAAAUAUAGUUUUGAAUCUGAGGUAUUCACAUUGAAAGUUUAUGAAAUGAAGUAAUUUUACAUGGGCAGUUUAUUAUCAUAGAGUGGCUUUUACGCUUAUAAGAUGAGGUUAUCUUUGAAAACUACUAGUUACAGCUUUAAAGUUUGCAUCUUUUAUAGAUAGCCCAUUAAUGGUUAACCAUUCAUUAAUUCUGCUUCUACUGGGAGCUAUACCUGACUUGUUCUUGCUUCUUGUUUUAGUUGAACGUAAACUUAAUGUUCUU